UACGUAGGGUGCGAGCGUUAAUCGGAAUUACUGGGCGUAAAGCGUGCGCAGGCGGUUUUGUAAGCCGGAUGUGAAAUCCCCGGGCUUAACCUGGGAAUGGCAUUCGGGACUGCAAGGCUGGAGUGCGGCAGAGGAGACUGGAAUCCCUGGUGUAGCAGUGAAAUGCGUAGAUAUCAGGAGGAACACCGAUGGCGAAGGCAGGUCUCUGGGCUGACACUGACGCUCAUGCACGAAAGCGUGGGGAGCAAACAGG
rnacentral:rRNA from 1 species